UACGUAGGGUGCAAGCGUUGUCCGGAAUUAUUGGGCGUAAAGAGCUCGUAGGCGGUUUGUCGCGUCUGCUGUGAAAACGCGAGGCUCAACCUCGCGCCUGCAGUGGGUACGGGCAGACUAGAGUGCGGUAGGGGAGAUUGGAAUUCCUGGUGUAGCGGUGAAAUGCGCAGAUAUCAGGAGGAACACCGGUGGCGAAGGCGGUUCUCUGGGCAUGACCUGACGCUGAGGAGCGAAAGUGUGGGGAGCGAACAGG
rnacentral:rRNA from 1 species